AAAUAAAAAUUCCGAACAAUUGAACACUGUAUUAACUCCUUUAUUGGCUUCGUUUGGUUUGGGUAUAAGCAGGAACUAACUAUUACAGAAAUAGAUAUAAGUAUGGAGAUAAGAAAAAUAACAUUUGAAUGAAAAUUAAAUUGUUUCUGAAAAUAUGAAAAAUAACAUUUAGAUAGAUAAUAUGAAAUAAGAAAAAUAAUUAGUAGUUAUAUAUAGAAAAUGAAGGUGUUGGUGAAGAUAAUUAUACCAGCUUAUUUCAGAUAUUCGAGAACUACUAUUUUCAAAUAAAAAAUUUACGUUUGGGUAUAAAGGGGGAUAAGGAGUUAUCCCUCCCCUUAUACUCGAUCCAAACGCUACCUUAAUGACCAAGGACAGUAAUCC
rnacentral:lncRNA from 1 species